UACGAAGGGGGCUAGCGUUGCUCGGAAUCACUGGGCGUAAAGGGCGCGUAGGCGGCGUUUUAAGUCGGGGGUGAAAGCCUGUGGCUCAACCACAGAAUGGCCUUCGAUACAGGGGCGCUUGAGUAUGGUAGAGGUUGGUGGAACUGCGAGUGUAGAGGUGAAAUUCGUAGAUAUUCGCAAGAACACCGGUGGCGAAGGCGGCCAACUGGACCAUUACUGACGCUGAGGCGCGAAAGCGUGGGGAGCAAACAGG
rnacentral:rRNA from 1 species